rnacentral:rRNA from 1 species
UACGUAGGCGGAAUAUUAAGUCGGUGGUGAAAUCCUGCGGCUCAACCGUAGAACUGCCAUUGAUACUGAUAUUCUUGAAUGUAGUUGAGGUAGGCGGAAUGUGUAAUGUAGCGGUGAAAUGCUUAGAUAUUACACAGAACACCGAUUGCGAAGGCAGCUUACUAAACUAUGAUUGACGCUGAUGUACGAAAGCGUGGGGAGCGAACAGGAUUAGAUACCCUGGUAGUCC